GACGAACGCUGGCGGCAUGCCUAAUACAUGCAAGUCGAGCGAACAGAUGAAGUGCUUGCACUUCUGACGUUAGCGGCGAACGGGUGAGUAACACGUAAGGAAUCUACCUAUAAGCGGGGGAUAACAUUCGGAAACGGGUGCUAAUACCGCAUAAUAUCUUCUUCCGCAUGGAAGAAGAUUGAAAGACGGCUCUGCUGUCACUUAUAGAUGACCUUGCGGUGCAUUAGUUAGUUGGUGGGGUAACGGCCUACCGAGACGAUGAUGCAUAGCCGACCUGAGAGGGUGAGCGGCCACAUUGGGACUGAGACACGGCCCAAACUCCUACGGGAGGCAGCAGUAGGGAAUCUUCCGCAAUGGGCGAAGGCCUGACGGAGCAAUGCCGCGUGAGUGAAGAAGGCCUUCGGGUCGUAAAACUCUGUUAUAAGAGAAGAACAAAUUGUAGAGUAACUGCUACAGUCUUGACGGUAUCUUAUCAGAAAGCCACGGCUAACUACGUGCCAGCAGCCGCAGUAA
rnacentral:rRNA from 1 species